GGCCGAUGACGAUCCACCGCUCCGAGCCGGACUCGGCACCCGGCGGCGACGAGCCCUAUGAGUACCGAGGCC
rfam:Halorubrum sp. AJ67, WGS project CBVY01000000 data, contig: SCAFFOLD00011